rnacentral:lncRNA from 1 species
AAAAAUCUUAGUUCGCCCUGCACAGUUAGAGAUGAAGCGUCUUAGAAAAUUUAUUUGGCCUAGAAACCUUUGCAACUCCUUUUUAUUGCUAGGUGGUUUGGCUUCUAGGAUGGCCUUCGCUUUAUUUUUAUCAAGUUCAAUCCCUCUCUUGUGUACCAAAAAACCAAGGAAAUUCCCUGCAUUAACACCAAAUGCACACUUCAAGGGAUUCAACUUUAGCUUAUAUUGCCUCAUUCGUUCAAACGAACAUUUUAACUGUUCGAAAUGGUCUUUUUCUUUAAUAGAUUUGACCACUAUGUCGUCCACAUACACUUCAACAAACUUGCCUAUCAUGUCGUGAAAGAUUAAAUUCAUUGCCCUUUGAUAAGUUGCCCCUGCAUUUUUUAGGCCGAAAGGCAUGACCACCCAUUCAAAACAUCCUAGAGACCCAGGGCAUCUAAAGGCAGUUUUGUGUAUGUCUUCUUCGGCUAUAUAAAUUUGAUUGUAUCCUGAAUACCCAUCCAUGAAAGAAUACAUGACAUGUCCGGCAGUUGAAUCUACUAAAGAAUCUACCGUGGGCAUCGGAUACUCAUCUUUGGGUGUAGCUAUAUUCAAAUUUCUAAAGUCUAUACACACCCUUAGUUUACCAUUCUUUUUUAAUACUGGCACAAUGUUUGACAACCAUUCGACAUAUCUGGCUGUCCUUAUAAAACCUGCUUUCAAUAAUCGCUCUAUCUCUUUCUUAAUCUCAGGGAGUACAUUAGGAGCAAAACGCCUAGGAGGUUGCCUAUGAGGUUUAAAAUUAGGCUUAGUCGGUAACCUAUGUUCCACUAAGUCUCUAUCUAAACCAGGCAUUUGUUCAUAUUCCCAAGCAAAACAAUCUUUGUACUCUUUUAACAAAGCGAUUAAUUUGUUACUAACCUCUUGGUCGAGCAUCUGGCUGAUGAACGUUGGGUGAUCUUCUCCUUCGUUGCCAAUAUUUACUUUGAUCAGAGGGUCUUGUGCUUGAGCGUAUCCAGGUUUGGCAAUCCGCAUCACUUCGUCGUCCAGUUCUUUUGUAAGUACUUCCUCUUCCAAACAGUCUACUUUGUUGACUUCUCGGCCAAGACUUUGCUCUAACUCGAAUACUGCCAACUUGUCCUUCAACGCUUUUAAGGCAGUCUCUUCUUUUGCUUUGUCAUUGCAUUCCUUAUUGAAAACCAUCAGUCUGGCUUUGAAGGCCUGAAUAUCGGCCAUUUGCUUUUGCAAUUCAGAAUCCAUUCAAGAUUCCCUGAUUAUUCUUUUGCCAAUCACUGGCUCUCCUAAGGCCACUAUAUUUGGCCUCAUCUGCUUGAACAUCUCAGUGAGUGCGUCCACUGAGAAUGGUUCUUCGCUUUGUGCGACUACUUGAGUUUCUUCCCCGUCUUGUACCACUCUGACAGGUCCAUAGUUUCCUUCGUACAUAAACUUUUCCACUGAGUUGGCUUCUGCGACGAAAGGCCUAUGAUCGGCCUGCACCACUUCUGCUUCGCCUUUGUCAUUCCAAAAAAUUAAACAUUGAUGGAGCGACGAGGGUAUACAUCGACUUCCGUGUAUCCAAUCCCUUCCUAAGAGCACGUUGUAACUAGUAGGACCAUCUAUUACAAAGAAGACAGUGGUCCUAGUAGUCGUACCUAUAGUUAUGUCCAAUGGCAUAACCCCCUUAGCUGAAGUUGCUCCUCCAUUGAAGCUAGUGAGGAUGACUUCUGUAGGAAUCAUAUCACCCUCUGUUUUUGCGAGCUUUCUCAUCAUUCUGGAUGGAAUGGUGUUUAUAGCUGCUCCAUUAUCGACAAGCACUUUUGCCACUGGGACGCCGUUAACUAGAGCUUUAACGUAUAAUGGCCUCAGGUGUUUUGUCAACUUCAUGGCUGGCCGUUUAAAAACAACCUUUUCGGCAGCCUCUAUUUCUACCUCUUGCUUGUUUUCUGUCGGAUUAUCCCCUUGUGAUAGGUCGACGUGUAGUAUGUCGCUCUUAUCCUCUGUCUCCUGAAUCUCCCUCUUGCUUUUUCCUAAUGCUUCCUCGUCGGUUAUCCAACCUGUGGGAGGAGGCAUUAUUUUUGCUUCCACAUCAGUCAUCCAACCUGUGGGAGGAGGCAUUAUUUUUGGAGGUGACCCAUACUUCUCAGAGCGAGGCACUCUCUUUUUCCUUUUGGGUGUCCCGUAUAGUACAUAGAAAUCGAAAGGACGCCCAGAUGGCUCCCCCAAUAAGUCUACUUCGCGGACUCCCUCUUGAUGUAGUUGCUUAA